GAUGAACGCUGGCGGCGUGCCUAAUACAUGCAAGUCGAGCGAACAGGCGAGGAGCUUGCUCCUCUGACGUUAGCGGCGGACGGGUGAGUAACACGUGGAUAACCUACCUAUAAGACUGGGAUAACUUCGGGAAACCGGAGCUAAUACCGGAUAAUAUAUUGAACCGCAUGGUUCAAUAGUGAAAGACGGUUUUGCUGUCACUUAUAGAUGGAUCCGCGCCGCAUUAGCUAGUUGGUAAGGUAACGGCUUACCAAGGCAACGAUGCGUAGCCGACCUGAGAGGGGGAUCGGCCACACUGGAACGGAGACACGGACCAGACUCCUACGGGAGGCAGCAGUAGGGAAUCUUCCGCAAUGGGCGAAAGCCUGACGGAGCAACGCCGCGUGAGUGAUGAAGGUCUUCGGAUCGUAAAACUCUGUUAUUAGGGAAGAACAAAUGUGUAAGUAACUAUGCACGUCUUGACGGUACCUAAUCAGAAAGCCACGGCUAACUACGUG
rnacentral:rRNA from 1 species